rnacentral:lncRNA from 1 species
GUAGGACAUAUCGUAAUAAGGUGCAUCCAUGAAUAUAGAUUCUUGUAUCACUGAGAUAACCAUUGAUUGUGGUUUUUACAAAAAAUUUGAUCGAGCCCCCCAGUCUGAAUUAUAGGCAUUGAAGUAUGGAUUAUUUGCUGAUCUAUGGGCCAUGUGGGUUUGAUCUUGAUAAACUUGCUCAUACAUAGACUCAAAAAAUCGAUGUGCGACUGGACAUUCACUCACAAAGUGAGUGGGGCCCGAACAUAUUGCACAAACUUGUUGCGCAGGAAGAUAAGAUGGAU